AGUAAAUAGAUACCCCGGUAGUCCCAGCUGUAAACGAUGCGCGUUAGGUGUGUCAGUGACCACGUGUCACUGAGAUGCCGAAGGGAAACCGUGAAACGCGCCGCCUGGGGAGUACGGUCGCAAGGCUGAAACUUAAAGGAAUUGGCGGGGGAGCACCACAACGGUGGAGCCUGCGGUUAAUCGGACUCAACGCCGGAAAUCUCACCGGAUAAGACAGCUGAAUGAUAGUCGGGAUGAAGACUCUACUUGACUAGCUGAGAGGAGGUGCAUGGCCGUCGUCAGUUCGUACUGUGAAGCAUCCUGUUUAGUCAGGCAACGAGCGAGACCCACGCCAACAAUUGCCAGCAUGA
rnacentral:rRNA from 1 species